rnacentral:rRNA from 1 species
CAGUCGCCGCGGGAAUACGGAGGGUGCAAGCGUUAAUCGGAAUUACUGGGCGUAAAGCGCACGCAGGCGGUCUGUCAAGUCGGAUGUGAAAUCCCCGGGCUCAACCUGGGAACUGCAUUCGAAACUGGCAGGCUAGAGUCUUGUAGAGGGGGGUAGAAUUCCAGGUGUAGCGGUGAAAUGCGUAGAGAUCUGGAGGAAUACCGGUGGCGAAGGCGGCCCCCUGGACAAAGACUGACGCUCAGGUGCGAAAGCGUGGGGAGCAAACAGGAUUAGAUACUCCGGUAGUCCCUGUCUCUUAUAU